UUGACUCCCAUCUUCUCGAGGAGCCACCGCUCUGAUUUCCAUAAUGGCUGUACAAGUCUGCACUUCCCCCAGCAGUGGAUGAGUGUUCCUCUUACUCUGUAUCCUUGCCAACAUGAGCUGUUAUUUGUUUUGAUGAUCUUACCCAUUCUGACAGGAAUAAGAUUAAAUCUCAAAGAAGUUUGAUUUGCAUUUCCCUGUUAGCUAAAAGUGUUGAACAUUCCUUUAAGGAUUUUUCAGCCAUUUGUGUUUCCUCUAUUGAAAAUCGUUUAGAUCUGUACCCCCUCUUAAAGUCGUAUUAUUGUUUUCUUGACAUUUUGCUUUUUGGUUCUUCGUAUGUGUAUGUUUUGGAUACUAGCCCUCAACCGGAUGUGUAGUUGGUAAAAAAAAAAAAAAAAA
rnacentral:lncRNA from 1 species